rnacentral:rRNA from 1 species
AUUGAACGCUGGCGGCAGGCCUAACACAUGCAAGUCGAACGAGUGGCGGACGGGUGUGUAAUGUCUGGGAAACUGCCUGAUGGAGGGGGAUAAAUACUGGAAACGGUAGCUAAUACCACAUACCAUCGGAUGUGCCCAGAUGGGAUUAGCUAGUAGGUGGGGUAACUGCUCACCUAGGCGACGAUCCCUAGCUGGUCUGAGAGGAUGACCAGCCCCACUGGAACGUAGACACGGUCCAGACUCCUACGGGAGGCAGCAGUGGGGAAUAUUGCACAAUGGGCGCAAGCCGGAUACAGCCAUGCCGCGUGUAUGAAGAAGUACUUCGGGUUGUAAAGUACUUUCAGCGGGGAGGCGUUACCCGCAGAAGAAGCACCGGCUAACUCCGUGCCAGCAGCCGCGGUAAUAC